rnacentral:rRNA from 1 species
AAUAUUGCGCAAUGGGGGAAACCCUGACGCAGCAACGCCGCGUGAAGGAAGAAGGCCUUCGGGUUGUAAACUUCUUUGAUUAGGGAAGAAAUAAAUGACGGUACCUAAGGAACAAGCCACGGCUAACUACGUGCCAGCAGCCGCGGUAAUACGUAGGUGGCAAGCGUUGUCCGGAAUUACUGGGUGUAAAGGGCGUGUAGGCGGGAAUGCAAGUCAGAUGUGAAAUUCCGGGGCUUAACCCCGGCGCUGCAUCUGAAACUGUAUUUCUUGAGUAUCGUAGAGGAAAGCGGAAUUCCCAGUGUAGCGGUGAAAUGCGUAGAGAUUGGGAGGAACACCAGUGGCGAAGGCGGCUUUCUGGACGGUAACUGACGCUGAGGCGCGAAAGCGUGGGGAGCAAACAGG